UUAGACAACAAUGGCUUCAUAAUAAUAUCCGAACAGUCGCAUCACACAGGACAAUUUUUCGGUCAAACUGAUGGUAGAAUCAUGGAUUCACUCGUAUAUGACGGAAUUUACAAAAAGAUUACAGUGGUCGAUAACCAAGGUUCAUGUCAGAAUGGAAUUGAACUGGACACCGACUCAGCAAUAGGACUUCGACCUUUGAAACCUAUUACAUGGUUUAUAAAAUGGUUUUUGGGACGUUUGACUUGAAUGGCUAUUGAAACUGAUUUGUAUCAUGUAUUGUUUCCAAAAUGGAUUUAUGGACAAGCCGAUGAACUAGCAUACGCCGAUUAUGAUAUAGAUCCAAUUGAUGGUUCAUUUCCGGAAGACAAGUUACCUGUUGACCAAAAUGAAAAACCAAUAUUAAGGGAUGAAAAGCCAAAUGCUGGUUCAAAUAAUGACUAUGGAGAUUUGCCUCCACAUCCCCCUAAUACACGUUCCUAAUAUAAAGAACAACGAUUAUUUUAAUCCAACCCACAAUCAUACUCUUCCGGAAGUCACGAGAACAUGCAAAAAAACGGUUGAUCUUUUUGUUUUAUAACCAAGUAGGCUGAUUAUGAGUGGGUCGUUCAUCUCACUUAAAGGGAAAUUAACGAAUUGUCAUGCAACUGGAUG